AGAUAUAGAGUGGACACAAUCUUCACCACAGGACACAGGGUUGUCAACUGAAACCAAAGUUUUUUUGACGUUGACCUUUGACCUAGGAAGUUGUACAUACAUCAUGACACGCCCUCUGGUGGUGGUUAAAAUGUAUGACAAGUAUAUACUUUGAAAUCAUAACGAUUAUCUAGAUAUGGAGCGGACACGAUCUUCACCACAGGACA
rnacentral:lncRNA from 1 species